rnacentral:pre_miRNA from 1 species
UUUGAGGGGAAUGUUGUCUGGCUCGAGGUACAGAAACCUUGAGAUUUGAUCUGUAGAUUGAUCUCGGACCAGGCUUCAUUCCCCUCAAG